AUCUGAGCGUCUUAUUUUAAUAAGUCAAAACUUUCAACAACGGAUCUCUUGGUUCUGGCAUCGAUGAAGAACGCAGCGAAAUGCGAUAAGUAAUGUGAAUUGCAGAAUUCAGUGAAUCAUCGAAUCUUUGAACGCACAUUGCGCCCAUUAGUAUUCUAGUGGGCAUGCCUGUUCGAGCGUCAUUUCAACCCUUAAGCC
rnacentral:rRNA from 1 species